GAUGAAGAACGUAGCGAAAUGCGAUAAGUAAUGUGAAUUGCAGAAUUCAGUGAAUCAUCGAAUCUUUGAACGCACAUUGCGCCCGCCAGUAUUCUGGCGGGCAUGCCUGUUCGAGCGUCAUUUCAACCAUCAAGCCCCCGGCUUGUGUUGGGGACCUGCGGCAGCCGCAGGCCCUGAAAACCAGUGGCGGGCUCGCUAGUCACUCCGAGCGUAGUAAUACAUCUCGCUCAGGGCGUGCUGCGGGUUCCGGCCGUUAAAAGCCUUAUUUACCCAAGGUUGACCUCGGAUCAGGUAGGAAGACCCGCUGAACUUAAGCAUAUCAAUAAGCGGAGGA
rnacentral:misc_RNA from 1 species